UAAUGAUGGUGAGAGCAAUUUCUAACCUUACCCUUAAAUCUCUCCCAAGCUUGGUAAAGAUUUUCUCCUUCUUUCUUCCUGAAACUUAUAAUCUCACUUCUUAAAUG
rfam:Capsicum annuum cultivar Zunla-1 chromosome 10, whole genome shotgun sequence